AUACCUUUCUCGGCCUUUUGGCUAAGAUCAAGUGUAGUAUCUGUUCUUAUCAGUUUAAUAUCUGAUAUGUGGGCCAAUGGCCCACACGAUAUUAAAUUUAUUUUUUGAGGGGGAAAGCCCAUUCCAGUAGCUUGCUACUCGGGCUUUCAAGCGUCGCCUAAGCUUUGCACUAUCGCUUGGGCCUGGCGCACCCCAC